CGCGUAGGCGGCGAUGCAAGUCGCAUGUGAAAUCCCCAGGCUUAACUUGGGGGGUGCAUACGAAACUGCAUGGCUUGAGUAUGGCAGAGGAAAGUGGAAUUCCUAGUGUAGCGGUGAAAAUGCGUAGAUAUUAGGAGGAACACCAGUGGCGAAGGCGACUUUCUGGGCCACAACUGACGCUGAGGCGCGAAAGCGUGGGGAGCAAACA
rnacentral:rRNA from 1 species